rnacentral:rRNA from 1 species
CUCAAAGGAAUUGACGGGGCCCGCACAAGCGAGGAGCAUGUGGUUUAAUUCGAUGAUACGCGAGGAACCUUACCUGGGCUCGAACGUAAGAUGACUGUAGGUGAAAGCUUACAUCUCUUCGGAGCAUUUUACGAGGUGCUGCAUGGUUGUCGUCAGCUCGUGCCGUGAGGUGUCGGGUUAAGUCCCAUAACGAGCGCAACCCCUACCUUUAGUUGCCAUCAGGUUAAGCUGGGGACUCUAAAGGAACUGCCUACGCAAGUAGUGAGGAAGGCGGGGAUGACGUCAAAUCAGCACGGCCCUUACGUCCAGGGCUACACACGUGCUACAAUGGCCGAUACAGAGGGCAGCUACCUGGUGACAGGAUGCAAAUCUCCAAAGUCGGUCUCAGUUCGGAUCGGAGUCUGCAACCCGACUCCGUGAAGUUGGAUUCGCUAGUAAUCGCGCAUCAGCCAUGGCGCGGUGAAUACGUUCCCGGGCCUU